rnacentral:rRNA from 1 species
UACGUAGGGGGCAAGCGUUGUCCGGAAUCAUUGGGCGGAAAGAGCGUGUAGGCGGCUCGAUAAGUCUGCUGUGAAAGUCCAGGGCUCAACCCUGGAAGGCCGGUGGAAACUGUCGGGCUAGAGUCCGGAAGAGGAGUGUGGAAUUCCUGGUGUAGCGGUGAAAUGCGCAGAUAUCAGGAGGAACACCGGUGGCGAAGGCGGGUCUCUGGGCCGAUACUGACGCUGAGGAGCGAAAGCGUGGGGAGCGAACAGG